rnacentral:tRNA from 1 species
GCCUGAGUGGCUCACUUGGUUGAGCGUCCGACUUUGGCUCAGGUCAUAAUCUCAGGGUUUGUGGGUUAGAGCCCCAUGUCAGGCU